GGAGGGCUGGCCGAGCCAGGCAAGGCACCGGGCUGCUAACCCGAGGUCCCGGCGCGCGUUCGCAUCGCGCGCCCUCCG
rnacentral:tRNA from 1 species